GGAGUUUGGACCGUGUCUCAGUUCCAAUGUGGGGGACCUUCCUCUCAGAACCCCUAAGGAUCGUAGGCUCGGUGGGCCGUUACCCCGCCGACUACCUAAUCCUACGCAUCGCCAUCCCUUACCGAUAAAUCUUUCAUACUCUUCUGAUGCCAUCCAAAUACAUAUCGGGCAUUAAUUCGGUUUUCACCGGGCUAUUCCCGAGUAAGGGGAAGGUUCGAUACGCGUUACGCACCCGUGCGCCGGUCGCCGCCAAGGUAUUGCUACCUCGCGCUGCCCCUCGACUUGCAUGUGUUAAGCCUGCCGCUAGCGUUCAUC
rnacentral:rRNA from 1 species